GACGAACGCUGGCGGCGUGCUUAACACAUGCAAGUCGAACGGAAAGUCCCUGCUUGUUUGGUGUGCUAUAGUGUUGAACGUGUGUGUAACACGGGAGUAACCUGCCCGUGACUUUGGGAUAACUUCAGGAAACUGGUGCUAAUACCGGAUAGCAGGUCCUGCUGCAUGGGGGGGGUUGGAAGGUUUCGGCGGUUGGGGAUGGACUGGCGGCUUAUCAGCUUGCUGGUGUGGUAUUGGAUUACCAAGGCUUUGACGGGUAGCCGGCCUGAGAGGGUUACCGGCCAGGUUGGAAUUGAAAUGAGGCACAGACUACUACGGGAGGCAGGAGAGGAGAGUAUUGUAUAAUGGAAUGAAGCCUGAUGUAGUAACGCGGCGUGCGGGAUGACGACCUUUGGGUUGUAAUCCGCUUUCGCCUGUGACGAAGCGUGAGUGACGGUAAUGGGUAAAGAAGCACCGGCUAACUACGUG
rnacentral:rRNA from 1 species